rnacentral:misc_RNA from 1 species
AAUGGAGUUGCCGAACAAAAAAAUCAACACCUUACUCAUACAUCAUAAUGUUCCUCUUUAUUUUUGGAGGUUUGUUGUUCUUACUGCCCGUUAUUUGAUUAAUCGCAUGCCUUCUUCUGUUUUGCAGCAUCCGAGUCCUUAUUCUCUUUUAUAUCCAAAUCAAAAUUCUCAUCAUCUCCCACUUCAUGUGUUUGGCUGUACAUGCUUCGUUCAUAACCUUUCUCCUGGCAAAGAUAAACUUCAACCAAAAUCAGUUAAGUGUGUCUUUCUAGGUUAUUCUCGCCUUUAAAAGGGUUACAAAUGUUAUGAUCCAGUCAUAAAUAAAUAUUACAUAUCAGCAGAUUAAACCUUUUUUGAAACAUAUCCAUAUUUCUCAGCAAACACAACAGACCAACAUUCUGUCACUAAGGCCCUUCCUACUCUGAUUGUUCCUCUUCUACAAGACACCUCAUAACUUCCUCUUCAAGUCUACUCACGCCAUCAUCACACUUCUGUUAACCAAAAGAUUGUUUCUGCAAAUAAUACAGGUAUUCUUCCAAGUGACUCUUCUCCUGCCUCACCACCAUCUCCUACACCAGUCGUGUCCCCAACAAAAACAGCAACUCCUCCCAUUGUCGUUCGAAAAGGCAUUUGUCCUACUCAAAACCCUCACCUAAUUUAUAACUAUCUUGAGUUAUCAUUGCUUAUCUCCUUCAUACUAUUCUUUUGUUUCUAUUUUGUCUAAUAUCCCUAUACCUAAGUUUGUCAGUGAAG